rnacentral:lncRNA from 1 species
UGUGAGCAUGGCGUUGUCGUAAUGUGGUAUGCUGUGACCCACGACGGGUACCCAUAGACUCAUCCUUUAGUCGCUGCCCUUGCAGGUGCCAUUCUGCGUUUAUCCCCACGCCGAGUGCAGGCACCAGUACAUCCUGAGAACACGUGGAUAUCAAAGAGGAAAAGACUUGAUUAGAUUUUUUACUUUUGGUACUGGGGAUCGAACUCAGGACCUUGCGCUUGCGAGGCAGGCACGGUGCCACUGAGCUAAAUCCCCGGCCCCAUUGAUUAGAUUUUUUGCAAUCCUCUUUGAAAUCAAAUUACCUUUACCUUAAUAGUACGUAAAUUAUUAUUUUUUUCCUGAACUAACUUGCCAAAACAUUUCAAAAGUUGAUUUAAGAGAAUGUUGGCUCUAUGUGUGUAAAUAUCUAACAUUUCUGUUGGGUUAGAUUUAGUCUGCCCUUUAAAUUAGUACUACUUGUGUUCUCCCUAGAAAAAUCUGUUGAAUUGUCUGAUCCCUACUUCUUUUUUUUAGGUACACCCGGUGUCCUUAAUUGACCUUGCUGGUCAUUAGCAUACUCUGGAGUCUUCCACUUAAACUUUCAGCAGACGUGGAAGAAUGACUGUCCCAACAUUUCUCAGACAUUCUGUGCUGUGAACUUGUGAGCCUGGCAUGAACCCUCUACUUUUCAAGAAUCAUUUGCAUUUCAACAUGAAUUUUGGAGGGAGGAAAGCAUUCAUAGCACUUCAUGAGGAGAGAAGAGACACUGACCUGGCCUUAAGGGAAGAAGAGUAUGCGUGGAGAUGCAGACAUCUUAUGAAAGAAGAGGACAUGGUGGAAUGGGAUAGGCAAGGUGUAAUAAGAGUUUAUGCUAUGCCACAAUCUCAGUAAACUAAGACUGAUGAAGAUUGGGAUGAAAUUAGGGGCUUAAAAACAAAAAAGAAAGAUGAUUUUGGGAUAAGUGUUGUAGAAAUGAGUCAGAGGUGAUGAGAGUGGGCAAACUGCCCAGAACAGGUAAAGGUUAAGAGGAGACAAGGUUUUAACCCAUAACUUUGUUCAUCAGUAUUUCUCUUAGAUUCUUGGGAUCCUCAAGCUAAUGUAGAAUACUGUACUUGAACUCAAGCCUAGUGGGUUAGCCCCUUUAGGGGUAGAGGCCGAGGGUAGACGGGUUGUUCAUUUAAGAAUUUGGAUGAACUCAAUUUAGUCCAAGUAUCCUGGGGUCUUUUAGCAUUUAUAUGCCAAGCGCUAUAAAUUUAUUUAUAUAUAUCCUUAUUUCUAACUACCACCAUAUGAUACCAUUAUUUUCCCCAUUUUAUACAGUAGGUGGUUGUGUUUUAGAGAGUUUAAUUUCCUCAGUGUUGUAUAGCUAAUAGGAUAAAACCAAGUAGUUAAGUUCAGAACCUGCCUUUUUAAACUACUACUCUGUCUAGCAUUCCAGUAGAAGUAUGACUAACAUAGGCCACAUCAUCUGAAAUUUUCUAAUCAUGUUAAGGAAAAAAAUGAAUUUAAUUUUAAUAUGUAUUUGUAUAUCUUUGUUAUCGCUGAGACACAAUACCUGACACCUGCAAAUUACAGGAGGUAAAGUUUAUUUUGGCUCACAGUUUGUAGAGGUUUCAGUCUGUAGUUAGCUGGCUCUUAUCCAGGACAGCAUGGCAGAGUAGAAAUAGCUCGUGGCCUGUCAGGAAGCAGAGGGAGAGGGAGGGAGGGAGACCCUUCCAGGCCGCACUCCCAGUGACCUGCCCCUUCCAACCAGGCUUCACCUCCCAACCUCACAUUUAGCUAUAAACUCACCAGUAGACUAAUCUACGAUGAGUGUCACAUCCCUGUGAUCCAAUCACAAAGUCCCACCUAUGAGCUUAUGAGGCUUUAGGGCUACAUCUAGAUAUAAAACACAGCAGUGUAGCUUAAUAUAUCUAAAAUAGCACUUUAUCCUAUACUCGUGAAAAAAAUUAAUCUGACUUUAUGCUGAAUUUGAAAUCUAAUAUGUAUUAGCACAUCUCAGUUUGCUUUGUUUGUUUGUUUUUUGGUACCAGAGAUCGAACUCAGGACCUCACGCUUGCCAGAUAGGCACCGUGCCACUGAGGUAUAUCCCUGGCCCAGCACAUCUCAGUUGGGACUAGCCCCAUUUCAAGGGCUCAGUAGCUACGUGUGGCUAGUGACUAUGAAAUUACACGGUACAGGAGCUCUACACCCUUAGACCUGAGGCUGUAGUCUGAAGCUUCAGAAGAGGGAAGGUGCCUUUUAUCUGUGACUAAUAUGUGUGAAUGUUAGGGCAGUGGAGAGCCUAACUAUCCACUGUUUCUCUGAUGCUUCCAGCCCCGGAGAGGGAGUUAUUUUACAGCUGCUCCCCUUGAAACUACAUAUGCCAGAACUAAAUCAAAAAUCUAGGUUGAUUAGAGAGUAACUGUUAGUAGCAAAAAAGAAUUACCAACAUUCCUUUACAUAAUUGUCUCACCACAGUACUGUACAUUUAUGAAAGUCUUUACCAUUUAUAGAAUGACAUUUUAUAUGAGCUUUCUUAUUUGAUUCUUAUGGUAAACUGGUAAGGCAUUAUCCAGUUUUACAGAUGAUGACUAGUUUUUGCAGAAGGAUUUAGGUGAUUUGCUUCAGUUUACAUUUAAUAAAGGUGAGCCCCAAGACUUAUUUCUUACCCUCUGGUCUAUCUUUCUGCUGUGCCAAUCAGCUUUGCCUUAUGUUUAGCAAAAUAUAUAAUGAAUUGUGACCAUUUACCACCCUCAGAAGCCAGUAUGUUGCCUCUUCCCAGAAAUGCGUCCCUUAAACUUCUGUGUACAGCAGUGCCUAUACUCCAUUUCUUGCUCUCAGUUACUGUUCAUGUGACUGUUUAUGUUGCCUGAGAAAGAAUCCUAAACUGACCUCUCUGUUUUGUUUUCACACUGCUGUUUUAUUUGGAACUAUAUUCCACGGGAUCAAAUCAUCAUACAAGCAUGUAAUUAGUCAUGUUAAAUUAAGGAAGUGGUAGGUUGUCCGCCCCCGCCCCAUCUGCCCCAUUCUUUGGUCCAAGAAACUUUUUUUUUUUUUUGGUACCACAGGUCAAACUCAGGACCUUGCGCUUGCAAGGCACGUGGCAGAACCACUGAGCUAAAUCCCCAGCCCUAACUCUUUAACUUUUUAGGAAUUGCAUGUUGUUGAGCUUAUGUUUAUUUUCCUAAAAUCUUUUCUGAAAUUAGGCAUUACAGUACAUGCAAAGCCCCCUCCCUGAAUGUUUUAAAUGAGGAAUUUACAUAUGAAAUUUUUGUGGUUUGUUUGUUUGUUUGUUUGUGNNNNNNNNNNNNNNNNNNNNNNNNNNNNNNNNNNNNNNNNNNNNNNNNNNNNNNNNNNNNNNNNNNNNNNNNNNNNNNNNNNNNNNNNNNNNNNNNNNNNNNNNNNNNNNGGAAUGAAACAGGACCUUGCACUUGUGAGGCAGGCAGCAGCACCACUGAGCUAAAUCCCUGGCCCUGGAUCAGCAUAUUAAGAAUCUCAGAUGUCAGCAUACAGAUUUGAGCUUAAUCUUUUCAACUUUGGGGAGCCACAUGAUUAGAAUGACAUUUUAAGCAGAGUAAGGUAGAGGGCAGGUAAUCUCACAUGUCUGGGAUCUAAUUAGUUUAGAUUAACAGUAACUCUAGAGGCUAAAUAGCCUACCUCCAAAAGAGCUCAGUGAUAUAAAAAGACAUCGUGACUCUUCAAAGCAUGUGGGUAACUAAUGACAUUGAAGUGAAGCUGUUAAGUCACAGGACUGACCACGUCCCAAGGUGGCAGCACUAUGUGAUCAUUGCCAGCCAUGCAGACCAUCCAUUACAUUCAUUGUAGCACAGUUCUCCUUUGCAUUCUUCAAUUGCUAACACAGUGUGAUUUAUUAACUAAAUGUUUUUUUAUUAAUAAAUUUUAUUUUAUCCCUCCCCCCCAACCCCCUCUCCUCCCUUUAAAUGUUGGUUUAUAAAAUUUUUUUAUGGUGCUAGCAAUAGAACCCUUGCACAUGGUAGGCAAACAUUCUACUACUGAGGCACAUCCCAGCCCAAUGUUCUGUUUAUAAGAAAUCAUGUUAGAACACAUUUGUCUCCAUGAUUCCAAUAUUUAUGUGCCUUCCGCAGUCUACUUAAUCAUCAGGACAUUUAAGGGAAUGCAUUUAAGGUAAAAUCUCAAGAAGUACCUGAGUUAGUCCCACAGUUUUGAUUUUUUUUUCACAUCUGUUGACCUAAGAGAAAAAAACAACAAAACAAGAGUGAUUCUCAAAAGAAUAAUAUUUAUUUGGUAACAGCUUUGCAAUGGGAACUGCAGAGCAUUGCAGUGGAGAUAUACAUGCCAGAGUAAAUUGGAUAUAUUCAAAAAAGUUAAGAGAGAAGUUUUGAAAGACAAAAUUGAGGGUUACAUCAGAUACUUUAAAACAAAAAUCCAUGAUGACAGUGAAUAAUAGGAGUGGUGUCAGGCCAAGGUUGAACGGCCAGUUGCUGGCUCCUUGUAAGGACUUUUUGUGUAACAUUUCAAUGACCUCUACAUAAGCUUGUGAUUUUCAGGGAGUAUUUUGUGACAGCUACUAUAAGGCAAUCAUGUAUAACACUCUUGCCUUCAUAACCUCCUGAUUUU